CAAAGAAGCCCUCAACAAGAGUCAGAAUGGGAAGCUGAGCUUGUUUCUAUGCGUCUAUGUGACUGUUGUGACCUGGCUCAGGCAUUAACGGCAAAAAGGGAAACCACACCAUCAUGACGUUUAAAAUAUACUUUAUUAAGAAAAGUAUAACAAGUUGAAUAUACAGAUGGGAUGUGAUAAUCAGUAGAGUCAGUGGUGUGUGAUGAGCAUGAGUGAAGAUUGGAUGUUGAUGUUGUAAAGUGUGAACAAAGCAAAAUGGUAAACCAACAAAACCAAAUCAACGUCUGUCUGUCGAGGCAGCCAGCGCAGCUGGGAGUGAGAGGGGCUGGAGCCACUGCGGGAGCGUCUGGGAGAUGAAACAGUUGACUGACAACCAGGAGACCAGCAGGAGGAUGAGGAACAAGGACACAGGCAAGGGAAAGGAGAGGAGCAAGGGCCUCAGAGGGAGGAGAUGUUCCCCUCGGUGCGGGUCACCAAGACCUCAUUACUAUCCAGCGGACCCUCAAGAAGGAGAUGGCUUCCCUGGAUUGCUCUCCCGGUUUCGACCUCGCCUGCCCCUGACCAGCCUGCUUCGCCCGUUUCCUGACCCUGCCUGUCCCUGGACUAUUCUGCCUUGCCUAUUUCCUGACCCUGCCUGUACCUGCGUCUACCGUCUUGCCUACUCCUGGAACACUCGCCUGUCCCUGACCUGCUCUUUGCAUACUCCCUGCUGGUUUAUCUUGUACCAGAAAAUUUGCAGUACAAACUAAAACAAAUAAAGCUCAGUGAACUGAAGGACAUCUGCAAACAGCAUGACAUUAUACAACUUCUGGGUCCUUGUCCUGAGGCUGCAGAAGGAGAAUAAGUCAAUACUCUGGACUGUCUUAUUAAUAAAUCAUUUUAAAAUGUA